AUCUAUAUAUAUAAAAAUCAAUUGCUGUUCCUUUGUCUCGCUAAAACUCGAGAACGGCUGGACCGAUUUGGCAAAUUUUGGUCUUGAAUUAUUUGUAGAAGUCCAGGGAAGGUUUAAAAGGUGAGAAAAUAUCAAAUAAUUGACGGAAAAUCCCUAAAAACUGCCCUUUCCUUUAUCCCAUACAAACGUUUUCUAACUAAUACGUAGAGUCAAUUUGAGCUUUAUUGCUAUUGGAUAAAGUUCAUUGUUGGAUAAAUGCUAUUGGAUACUAAAAAACAAAUGCUAUUGAAUAAGUGUGCGUUGGAGACUUGGAGCACAAAAUCCCUACUAAUAUUAUAAAUGCGAAAGUAACUCUGUCUGUCUGUAAUUACACUUUCAAGCCUAAACCAGUGAACUGAUUUUGAUAGAAUUUAGUACUGAGAUAGAAUAGACCUUGAUACUUUUUAUUGCAAAAAAAUAGCGGAGAAUGGGUAAAAAUAAGGGAUAAAUGGUCAUAUGGAAAUUUGUCAUUUUAAAAGCUGUAACAGUAAAACUUUGUAUUUAGAUACUUAAUGAGGAACGAAAGAACAUGGUCUACUUUUUAUUGCAAAAAAAAAACAGAAAAAAAUAUAAAAAAAAACGUUGCCUGUGGCUUCACUCGCGUUCGAUUCUUAUUUAAAUACACAUAUACUUAUUUAAAUCGCCAAUAUCCCUACUACCAUACUAAUGUUAUGAAUGCGAAAGUAAUCCUGUUUGUGUUGAGGUUACGCUUGCACGAAUGUUUUUUUUUUAGAAUAUAACAACGAAACAAUGUAUUUUUUUAUUGAUAGGCAAUAUAUAGGAAAUUAAAGGAUAAUAAUAUAGAUAACCUUGGCUACUUUUCAUCAUGAUUAUAAAAUGAUGAAUCGGCGGUCGUGGUUUCUUUGGAAUACAUAUCUUUAAAAAUGCUAACAGUAACAUAUCCUCAAGUAAUUCACAUUUUAGAUGACAUACGGCAGCAUUUUGACCACUAACACCACUACGCGGACGAAGUCGCGGGCAAAAGCUAGAUUCGAUAAAUUUUCAUUUGUACAUGUCAAAUAUUUGUUGUUUCUAAAUUCAAAUUCUGUAAAUAAUGAUUGACAUUUAUGCAUAAACUAUGAAAAGGGUGAAUAAACAAUUGUCUAUAUUUUUUUAACCUAUUGAAAAUGUUGAAAAGUGCAUUAAGCAUUAAUAGAAAUUCCUCAAAUAUUAAUUAUGCGUGCGUUCAGAAAUAAUGACAAAUUAUCAACAGUUACGCGUGUGUUCAGAAAUUUAUUUUGUGUAAAUUAAAGUUUCUAUUCACGUUUUCGAACAAACGAUGCUCUUUCAAUAUAGUCUAUAGGUGUGAAUGACAUUGACAUUCGUAUUGCGCGUUUUUUAAAAUAUGCAAAAUUAAAUGUAUAGUUUUCAAUAUUUCUGAGAGAUUAUCUUAAUAUUUCUUCGAGUUUUAAAGACUAAGAAGAUUUUUAUUUGCUAAUAAGUGUUUGUUAAUCAAGGUAAGUUCACAUCUUCAUUAUUGAUUUUUAGUAACUUUUGGUGACUACACAAUACUACAAUUUGGUAUACACGGUUAUGCAGAAAAUGUAUGAGAGCUUUUUAUUUUCAGUUGGAAUUUCGUUUUUAACAAUGCUACCAACCAGACGUACAAGCUUAGGCCGCAGAACUCGAAAUACGGCAAGUCAAAGAAAUAUAUGAGCAAAUCAAACUGAUGAGCAUCGCGAAGCGCGAAAUGAACUUGAACUGAAUCGAUAUUAAGAUAGAAAUGUUGUGUUUAAUCCCCACAAAGCUGCAUUCAGUUAUAAUGUAGCAAUUGAUUACAGUUCAGAGCAAAUUGUUGCUAUUGGACUAAUGAACAUUGUGUGUCCACAUUGGGAUUGAAAUUAAAAAAUGAAGCCUCUGGAUUGUGUUGCGCCAGCGGCCAAGUCAAAUUGACGCCAUUGGUACCGCCACCAGAGCCACUACAUUCGUUGGUCCAUUUUUUGACUCAUAUCCAGUAGUACAAUAAUUGCUUUCAAAUGACAUCAUUUGGGGCAACAAAAGUUAUACGAGACAAUUAUUUGCCUACUUUUAGCAAAUUCAGGGAUUCAAAUAUAUCAUCAAACAGGUUCCUUAUUGCCAGUGCCUGUUGAAGACUAUACAUUUUUGCAAAUAUAUUUUAUGGACAAUUCAGCAAGAGAAGUCGAUCAGCGUUGCGCACACAACAACUCAGUAAAGAGAUCCAUUGUGAUGAACAACUUCAAACAUUUUUCCUUCAACACAAUGAAUUAGUUGCAUUAGACCGAUGCAUUAGACAUUCACAAAUGCAUUAGACCGCAUGCCAUCAGAUAAUCACAAAAUUGUCAUCAGAGCCGACAAGGCGCCUGCAGGACAGUGAAAUGAUUGAAUCCUAUGAAAUAAACACUAUUAUGAAAAUA